rnacentral:rRNA from 1 species
CCCUUAGAUGUUCUGGGCCGCACGCGUGCUACACUGAACGGUUCAAUGGGUAAGGUAGUGCGAAAGCAUGACCUAAUCUCGAAAUCCGUUCGUGCUGGGGAUAGAAGCUUGCAAUUAUCCUUCUUGAACGAGGAAUACCUUGUAAGCGUGAGUCAUCAUCUCACGCUGAAUACGUCCCUGCCCUUUGUACACACCGCCCGUCGCUCCUACCGAUUGAGUGCUCAGGUGAAUAAUUCGGACUGCAGCAAUGUUCGGAUCCCGAACGUUGCCGCGGAAAGUUUAGUGAACCUUAUCACUUAGAGGAAGGAGAAGUCGUAACA